CUACUUAGGGCCUGAUCCAAAGCCCACGGAAAUCAGAGGGAGGCCUUUCUACUGACUUUAGUGGGCUUUGGAUCAGUCCCUUAUUGG
rnacentral:pre_miRNA from 1 species